AGGAUGAACGCUGGCGGUGUGCCUAAUACAUGCAAGUCGAACGGACUCUUAUUUGAAUCUAGUAUUUAACCUCGGUUAGAUACCAGAUCCUUUCGAGAGUUAGUGGCGGACGGGUGAGUAACACGUUGGUACCUGCCCCGAAGUGGGGAAUAACUGCCCGAAAGGGUAGCUAAUACCGCAUAUUGCCGAAAGGUGAAAGCAGUAAUGCGCUUCGGGAGGGGCCUGCGUCCCAUUAGCUUGUUGGUAGGGUAAUGGCCUACCAAGGCUGCGAUGGGUAGCUGGAUCGAGAGGUUGACCAGCCACACUGGGACUGAGAUACGGCCCAGACUCCUACGGGAGACAGCAGUAAGGAAUCUUCCACAAUGGACGAAAGUCUGAUGGAGCAACACCGCGUGCAGGAUGAAGGCUUUCGGGUCGUAAACUGCUUUUAUAUAGGAAGAUUAUGACGGUACUAUAUGAAUAAGGACCGGCUAACUACGCGCAGCAGCCGCGGUAA
rnacentral:rRNA from 1 species